AGAGUUUGAUCAUGGCUCAGAUUGAACGCUGGCGGCAGGCCUAACACAUGCAAGUCGAACGGUAACAGGAAGCAGCUUGCUGUUUCGCUGACGAGUGGCGGACGGGUGAGUAAUGUCUGGGAAACUGCCUGAUGGAGGGGGAUAACUACUGGAAACGGUAGCUAAUACCGCAUAACGUCGCAAGACCAAAGAGGGGGACCUUCGGGCCUCUUGCCAUCGGAUGUGCCCAGAUGGGAUUAGCUUGUUGGUGGGGUAACGGCUCACCAAGGCGACGAUCCCUAGCUGGUCUGAGAGGAUGACCAGCCACACUGGAACUGAGACACGGUCCAGACUCCUACGGGAGGCAGCAGUGGGGAAUAUUGCACAAUGGGCGCAAGCCUGAUGCAGCCAUGCCGCGUGUAUGAAGAAGGCCUUCGGGUUGUAAAGUACUUUCAGCGGGGAGGAAGGGAGUAAAGUUAAUACCUUUGCUCAUUGACGUUACCCGCAGAAGAAGCACCGGCUAACUCCGUGCCAGCAGCCGCGGUAAUACGGAGGGUGCAAGCGUUAAUCGGAAUUACUGGGCGUAAAGCGCACGCAGGCGGUUUGUUAAGUCAGAUGUGAAAUCCCCGGGCUCAACCUGGGAACUGCAUCUGAUACUGGCAAGCUUGAGUCUCGUAGAGGGGGGUAGAAUUCCAGGUGUAGCGGUGAAAUGCGUAGAGAUCUGGAGGAAUACCGGUGGCGAAGGCGGCCCCCUGGACGAAGACUGACGCUCAGGUGCGAAAGCGUGGGGAGCAAACAGGAUUAGAUACCCUGGUAGUCCACGCCGUAAACGAUGUCGACUUGGAGGUUGUGCCCUUGAGGCGUGGCUUCCGGAGCUAACGCGUUAAGUCGACCGCCUGGGGAGUACGGCCGCAAGGUUAAAACUCAAAUGAAUUGACGGGGGCCCGCACAAGCGGUGGAGCAUGUGGUUUAAUUCGAUGCAACGCGAAGAACCUUACCUGGUCUUGACAUCCACGGAAGUUUUCAGAGAUGAGAAUGUGCCUUCGGGAACCGUGAGACAGGUGCUGCAUGGCUGUCGUCAGCUCGUGUUGUGAAAUGUUGGGUUAAGUCCCGCAACGAGCGCAACCCUUAUCCUUUGUUGCCAGCG
rnacentral:rRNA from 1 species